UGGUUGGCCUGGGACUGAGUUCCUAGAAGCUCCUGGCUUGCUCAGUCCCAGUUCUAGAUGUU
rnacentral:miRNA from 1 species